GAUGAACGCUGGCGGCGUGCCUAAUACAUGCAAGUCGAGCGAACAGACGAGGAGCUUGCUCCUCUGACGUUAGCGGCGGACGGGUGAGUAACACGUGGAUAACCUACCUAUAAGACUGGGAUAAAUUCGGGAAACCGGAGCUAAUACCGGAUAAUAUAUUGAACCGCAUGGUUCAAUAGUGAAAGACGGUUUUGCUGUCACUUAUAGAUGGAUCCGCGCCGCAUUAGCUAGUUGGUAAGGUAACGGCUUACCAAGGCGACGAUGCGUAGCCGACCUGAGAGGGUGAUCGGCCACACUGGAACUGAGACACGGUCCAGACUCCUACGGGAGGCAGCAGUAGGGAAUCUUCCGCAAUGGUCGAAAGCCUGACGGAGCAACGCCGCGUGAGUGAUGAAGGUCUUCGGAUCGUAAAACUCUGUUAUUAGGGAAGAACAAAUGUGUAAGUAACUAUGCACGUCUUGACGGUACCUAAUCAGAAAGCCACGGCUAACUACGUG
rnacentral:rRNA from 1 species